UGGAGCACCCAAUAAGUCUUCAAUAACAGCCCGCAGGUUCUGCCACAAUUUCAUCAUGACUCUAAUAAGUACUUCCAUGACUGGCCACCGGAGAUGUAAUAGCAUUCCCCAAAGUUACUUUCACCAAUUGAUGAGAAAAACCAGCAUUUGGAUCACCAAGCUUUGGUCAGGUAUUUCUAGAUUUUGGUUUAUAGAAAGCGUCCUCAGCUUGCUGCAGAUGCCCCAAUUCAAGUCUGAUUUUCUGCUCUUUCUCAGUUAAUCUCUCAGAGUGAUUACUCCUAAGAGCAUGCUGGACAGCAGCAAGCUCAAGUUUUUUUAUUUCCACUUUCUCAGGCAAAGCACCAAAAAAACCUCUUAUUAAAUGAGAAAUGAGCAACACAUUGGAUAGUCAGUCACCAUUUUAUUCCAACCAGAAUGCAAAAUUUCUUUCUACUCAUGAUCUGUCCAGAAGUACUUGAAAGACUUCUUGGAUUUAACUUCAUCGAUCUCUAACUGAAGUAGAGCAUAAGAAUGAUCAAAAUAACCUGCUCCCCUCUAAGGCUCGCCCUCACGGGAUAAUUGUGUCAUUCUUUGCAUGUCACAUGAGCCCAUUCUAACUGCAUAGCAUGGAGCAAUGAUGGAUGUAGUCAGUAGCCCCUACAGUAACCAGCUUUUUGUGUACUAUGUAUAUGUUGAUUUCGCAGUUGCAACAGUUAGUUCCAGUACAUCAGUUUGACAAGCUUCCAAGUUAUUACAUAUAUGCGGGUCUGAUAUUCGUUCCACUCACCCAACCUACCUUCACGAAUAUGGUGAAGACUGGUAUAACACAUCAUCUCGGCGGUUGUGUGAACGUGCACCAAGGGAGCUUCCAAAAAAUGCUGGCGAACAACUCGUUAUUCUUUCACAGGUCCUGAUGGAUGACGUCAAUGCAGGGCACGAACGUCUUGCAGAAUUACAGGUGAGGAAGGUGAACGGAAUUGAAAUUGAAAAUUAGAGGCAUUUGUACCAGCUUGUGGAGCACUACAAUGGUGAAAGCAUACAAUUUGAUUUGGACGAAGCAAAGAUAGAGGAAGCGACGCGCCCAGCCCCCAGAAAAGAAAACGUGGCGAGAAAGGGGCGAAGAUGUUGACAUUGAAUGUCAGGGCAUUAGGGACUACUUCAGUGGGCUUUUUUUGGAUUGAUAGGAAUAAACACCUGGAUCGGUUCAGUCUCGUUUACAUAAUUUGCUUGAUUUCGACAAUGGUAUGGUUAUAUUAGGCAAGUUCUUCCAAUCGAGGAGGUUCAUGACGU